UACGGAGGGUGCAAGCGUUGUCCGGAUUUAUUGGGUUUAAAGGGUGCGCAGGUGGGUAUUUAAGUCUGGUUUGAAAGCAGGUGGCUCAACCAUCUGAUGUGGCUGGAAACUGGAUAUCUUGAAUGGGUUGGCGGUAGCCGGAAUGGGUCAUGUAGCGGUGAAAUGCAUAGAUAUGACCCGGAACACCGAUUGCGAAGGCAGGCUACUACGACUUGAUUGACACUGAGGCACGAGAGCAUGGGUAGCGAACAGGAUUAGAUACCC
rnacentral:rRNA from 1 species